CCUACGGGAGCUGCAGUGGGGAAUAUUGGACAAUGGGCGAAAGCCUGAUCCAGCCAUGCCGCGUGUGUGAAGAAGGCCUUCGGGUUGUAAAGCACUUUCAGUGGGGAAGAAAGCCUUGGGGCUAAUACCCUCGAGGAAGGACAUCACCCACAGAAGAAGCACCGGCUAACUCCGUGCCAGCAGCCGCGGUAAUACGGAGGGUGCGAGCGUUAAUCGGAAUUACUGGGCGUAAAGCGCGCGUAGGCGGUCUGAUAAGCCGGUUGUGAAAGCCCCGGGCUCAACCUGGGAACGGCAUCCGGAACUGUCAGGCUAGAGUGCAGGAGAGGAAGGUAGAAUUCCCGGUGUAGCGGUGAAAUGCGUAGAGAUCGGGAGGAAUACCAGUGGCGAAGGCGGCCUUCUGGACUGACACUGACGCUGAGGUGCGAAAGCGUGGGUAGCAAACAGGAUUAGAUACCCGUGUAGUC
rnacentral:rRNA from 1 species